AUGACAAGUGUUGGAGCAAGCAUAGCCACCAACCAACACCGUUGCAGUGGGCGCGGCGCUCAACAAGCCUAUGUCCUGUGCUGGGAGUCGCUGAAUGCUGAUUUGCUGAGGCUGAUCGCUGACCGGGUACUCUCUAGCGACCUGCUGCACUACGUCUGGUUCCGUGCAGUGUGCAAGCAGUGGCGUGCCAACACUCUUAGCCCGCGCGGCUGCGGCGUGGUAGACCCGCGCUUUCACCCACGGCAAUGGAUGAUGUUUCCGGAGGGCAACGGGCUUCACCCCGGCCACCCUGCAUUAGGCGGCUACAUCUGCUUCCUCAACAUCUACACCGGCAUCUUCAUCCGCGUGCACCUCCCGUGCUUCGAGGACCACUCCGUGCUUGACUGCCCUGACGGCCUCCUUCUCCUGCAGCGCAAGAAGGAUGCUGUUAUCUGCCUCCUCCACCCCUUCACCGGUGAUGUUGCCGAGUUUCCUCCCCUUGCCUCCCUCUGCUUGUACAUGAGUAAGUUUGGGAUCUUUCUGAAUGGCCCUUAUGAUCUUCGACUACGGAUGGUCCACGCGGCUGUCUCCGUCCAUGUGGGUGGCAGUAUUACCAUCAUGGUCGCGCUCAGCCACGCCGAGCGCAUGGCGUACGUAUCCACCGGUGACAAGCACUGGACUCACACAAGCUGGAUGAUGACUGGCAUGAUGACAGCACUGCCAUUCCGUGGCAGCCUCUACACGGUGAGGAUCUGGAAAAACAAACCCUCACACAUCAUGCGCGUCAAUCCACCAGAUAGCUCCAGUUCCUCCUCGUGGCCGUCUACACCGCCACAAAUGAUCGCCACAUGUCCAGCUAAUCAGAUGGCUAAGGCUUACCUGGUGGAGUGCAAUUCUGAACUUCUUCUGGUCGGCUAUACUGACAGACACUCCCAGCUUGUGGUUAUCCGGCUUGCUGACCUCAUGCUCGGAAUCCCUGCCACACCAUUGACAAGCAUCGGCGACCAUGCCCUCUUCAUUGGCACUUGGAGCAUGGCCGUCAACUCCAGAAACUUACCAUUCGUUCAGGGGAACUCCAUCACCGUCCUCAACCCAACUAACAGCGGCCGACUGUGGCAAUAUGAUCUGGGCAGAGGUACCUGGUCGCCGCUGUGCGAUGGAAACUUCGUCAGUGCCAGCGGCCCCAUACCAAGGCCAUACAGUCUUGUCCACCACAUUGUCAGUUGUUGCCAGCGUCUUUACUGGAUCAGUGGAGACACCUGGACCCGCCACCAUGAUUCUGAACCUCGUUGGCAUAUAGUUGCUUCAGCACAUGAAAGAGUUUGCACAGUCUGCACUGACCAGUUGAAGGCUAUUCAUCUUUCCAAGAUCUACGUUUGA
rnacentral:rRNA from 1 species